ACGGAGGAUCCAAGCGUUAUCCGGAUUUAUUGGGUUUAAAGGGUGCGUAGGCGGCGUGUUAAGUCAGAGGUGAAAUUCGGCAGCUCAACUGUCAAAUUGCCUUUGAUACUGGCACACUUGAAUGCGAUUGAGGUAGGCGGAAUGUGACAUGUAGCGGUGAAAUGCUUAGAUAUGUGACAGAACACCGAUUGCGAAGGCAGCUUACCAAGUCGUUAUUGACGCUGAGGCACGAAAGCGUGGGGAGCAAACAGG
rnacentral:rRNA from 1 species